AUUAUUCAUGUCCCAAUCAUCCUAAUUAGCUGCACAACUUACAUUACCUAGAGGCCCCCCAAUUUCUUCAAAAAUUAUGUCAAGAAGAUCAUUGCUUCUAUCAAUGUCACCAUAGCAAUCUCUUUCAAAAUUCAUUUGUAUCCAAUAUAAUCCUCCUCCCACAAACCUUUUGCGAAGUUUACAUUCCCUCCUACAUCCCUUCCCUCACAAUCCUAUCGUCCCCAACCAUGACUCCUAACCCUUAUGUUCGAUUCGCAUAUACUCAUUUUAAUCCAAUCC
rnacentral:lncRNA from 1 species